rnacentral:tRNA from 1 species
GCUGUGAUGGCCGAGUGGUUAAGGCGUUGGAUUCGAAAUCCAAUGGGGUUUCCCUGCGCAGGUUCGAACCCUGCUCUCAGCG